UACGAAGGGGGCUAGCGUUGCUCGGAAUCACUGGGCGUAAAGGGUGCGUAGGCGGGUCUUUAAGUCAGGGGUGAAAUCCUGGAGCUCAACUCCAGAACUGCCUUUUGAUACUGAAGAUCUUGAGUUCGGGAGAGGUGAGUGGAACUGCGAGUGUAGAGGUGAAAAUUCGUAGAUAUUCGCAAGAACACCAGUGGCGAAGGCGGCUCACUGGCCCCGAUACUGA
rnacentral:rRNA from 1 species